rnacentral:rRNA from 1 species
UCAAAAACAUGGCCUAUUGAUAAUAAUUUUAGGUUUGGCCUGCCCCCUGAGGAUUUAAAUGGCCGCGGUAUUUUGACCGUGCUAAGGUAGCAUAAUCAUUAGUUUCUUAAUUAGAAGCUAGAAUGAAUGGUUGGAUGAAAAAAAAUCUGUCUCUAUUUAAAAUUUUAUUAGAACUUAAUUUUUUAGUAAAAAAGCUAAAAUAAAUUUAAAAGACGAGAAGACCCUAUAGAGUUUUAUAUUUAAAAAAAAUUAAAAUUUAUUAGGAUAUAAUUUUUUGAUUUUUUUAAUUAUUUGGUUGGGGUGAUUGAAAAAUUAAAUUAACUUUUUCUUUUUAUAAACAAUAAUUUUUGAGUAAUUGAUCCAUUUUUUAUGAUUAAAAGAUUAAAUUACCUUAGGGAUAACAGCGUAAUAUUUUCAGAGAGUUCUUAUCGAAGAAAAAGAUUGCGACCUCGAUGUUGGAUUAAAAUUAACUUUGGGUGUAGAAGCUUGAAAGUUGGGUCUGUUCGACCUUUAAAAUUUUACAUGAUCUGA